UUUUAUUGUCCCACCCAAGCCCUGUUGUUAUUUUGUCAUGUCUGCCGUUGAUUUUGUUUUCUCUGUUUUGCCUUGUCCUGUCUGUUACCCAGUCGGUCUUGUCUUGUCCGUCUACCUCUUGGUGAGCACCUGGAGGUGCUCAUUAAAGGGGGGGCUUCUGUCAUGGCUCUGCUUCAUUUAGUCUUGUUUUUCUUGGUCCUGUAGCAGAGACAUGGCAAAGCCUUAGUGUGCAAAAGACCCAAGCUGAGGAGUUAACACGCCGGAAUGAUGUGCGGAUAUUCACUGUUCCCAGAGGAGCUUUUAUUAUGAAAGCGAGCACCGCUCAUCCGGAGCGAUUGCGGAAGAGCGUUAGUUGUUGGAACAGCGCGUGGGACAGUGGUGCGGCAUACACAGGCUCGUAAAUCAGGCUGUAACUGAAUCUUCCGAGCCAGGUUAUAACGUAGUGUGCUGAUGUGCGUCCAAUAAGAGUGAGUACAGAUAGAGUUAUAUGUGUUCGCUUGGAUUGUGUUCCUUAUUGUUAAUGCUAACAUGCUACUAGCUACACAGCUGUUCAUAGCUGUGAUAAUCACUCAUGUUACUGUUUGUCAGCGUGUUGCUAAUGAAGAGUGUUGUUUCAUUAUGUCAAUGGUGUAUUUGGUAACAAUGAAGGAAUGAGUGUAGUACAUAUUAUUGUGAAGAUGUAUGAGGGGAGAAGCCAUAGUUAUCUGUUAAUGCGUUAACUGCAUGGAUGUUAUGCACUAUAGCUCUGCAUGCUUAGGAGUUCUGUUGUUAUCUGUUCCAGGGAAACCACAUCUGCACAUCUGUACAUCUUUACAUAUUAACCUCUCCACCUGCAUCUUACCUGGCCCGGUUGCAAAUACUGCCAAUCUUAACCGCCACUGAAAUUUACCUGGAUAAUUCAGAGAGUACCAGUCUGAGUGAUGAACGGAACAGCACUCAGUUUGUUCAUGGCUCUGGGUUCAGUAAAGGGACACUGAUCGUACUCCUCGUGAUCUUGUUAACGCUGGCUCUCCCCUCUGAUGAUUGUUCAUGUGUGCCCAAUAAACGGCUUAAGUUGACCCAAUGCUCUCUGCUGUGUUCUGACCGACACCCUGGUUCACUGCUAUACUUAUUUGAAACUAGCCCCUUUCCUCUCAGAGUAGCCCUUCGCUACAUUUGUGGUCCUUCGAGCCGGAUAGCAACUGUGCUGGGAAUAUUCAGCCGAGCGAGGGAGCAGUGUGGGCCAUGCCAGCCCGCCCAAGCGACAACCGGAAUAUUUACAGGAUUACGUGGUUGGAGCAGCUCCACCGAGGAGGUCUAGCCCAACACGUCACAGUACGCCCUCCUUUCCACCCGGAGCAGCUGAGUGGAUCCCACGUUCUCACGUUCCAUGGAAUAAGACCCCUUGCACGAGGGAUGAGUCCUCCGCUGACUGGGAUGAUAGCCUCCAAGACACGAACAUAGCAUGGUCACAACCACCAACUACCUCUACCCGGGAGCCGAGACUAGAGCGACGGACACAGCCCACAGAACCAUGGCCGAGACCUCCGCCCUCCAGGCCCGAUGACUUCCAAUUAGGGGAAGAGGAGGAGCCUGAAGAGUUACCGCCACCGCCAUGGCCCCCAUUUGAGCCACAUCCUAUGCCCACGAGGGUGGAGGAGCACAGAGUGAUUACCGUCAUAGAUAGGAUGAUGAGGGAGCUACAGCUCAUGAGAGACCAAGCGGUGUCUGAAGCACCCGCUAAUGAUAUCCAGCACUCUCACCAACGCGAUCCUUCUUCGUACAGACUACGUAAUGAACAUUGGGAUGCUCGGCCUCGACCCCAGAGGUCAGGAUCUUUCUCACCAAUGUCUCACACGGAGCAGUUCCCAACCAGAGUCGACAUGAGUUAUCCGCACCGUGCUCGAGGGCUACCUCAGUCGCCAGGAGCAAUGUCACUGGGAAGAGGAGGAUAUCAGGGACCAGCCCCAAGAAUCCCUCUUUUCGUUCAUAAAGACCCGAUGGAAUUCUCCAGGCUGAAGCUAGCUUUAACCAACCUGUUACCUGCGGAUGCCCCGGAGCUCUUUAAGUACCAGAUCCUUGUGGAUCAUGUGAAGCUCGAGGAAGCCUGUCUCAUAGCUGAUUCCUUUAUUAACUCACCCAGGCCUUACAUGGACACAAUGGCCGCCCUGACGGAGAAGUUCGGACAGCCUCAUCAAGUAGCCUUAAAGAGGAUUGCGACCAUCAUGGAUUCACCUGAGAUCAAACGAGGAGAUAUAGCGGCCUUUGAAAGAUUCUCACUGCAUGUACAGUCACUAGUGGGCAUGCUACAGACAUUGGGUCCGGAUGGUGAUGUGGAGCUUAGAUGUGGUUCUCAUGUAGCUCGGAUCCUCUCCAAGCUUCCGACCGAGAUGAGAGCGAACUUCAGACGACAGAUGUUCUACGGUCAUGGGCAUACUCACACCUUGCGUGACCUGGCAGAAUGGCUCAGAUAUGAGUCUUGGUGUCAAGGCUACGACAACAUCUCAGAUGUCCAUACCCAAGGGUCAACAGGCUACCGAGCGGAAAAGCGACGCAGCCGACCUGCAGCUACAGUGCUUCACGGAGCAGAAGGCCGUCUGCCGAGACAGGCGGGAAACCAAGGGAGUCACAGCUCUUUUAAUCCGACCAAAAGAGGCAAUGUGAAACCGUACUGCCCUUAUUGUGAGAACAACGACCACUUCCUGAAUAAGUGUCCCGACAUUCAGAAACUCACCAGAGAGGAGAUCAGAGAGUGGAUAAGAGUGAACAAGAGAUGCUGGAAAUGUGGACGAGGACAUCAAGCCGUACAAUGUGACCUCAAAAAGCUCUGCGAUUUGUGCCAUGAGAGGCACCUCCGGAUUCUGCAUGAUGCCAAUGCUCGCCCAAAGGUCGAACCGCCAAAGACGGAGAGUUGUCUAGUGAGCUCCGGAACGGAAAUACUCUACUUGGACAGACCAUCGGUGCAUUCCCGUGUCCUACUGAAAGUCGUCAGGGUACUUCUGCGCAAUAGAGACAAGACACUAGAAACGUACGCUGUCCUCGACGAUGGUUCUGAGCGGACGAUGCUCCUCGCGGAGGCUGCCGAUCAACUGGGCCUGCCCAAGAAGCCUGAGGACCUAGCACUCCGCACAAUCCGUCAGGAGGUUCAAACCUUGAAGGGAUCAUCAGUCUCAUUCAGCAUAUCCUCCCCCUCUCGUCCCAAGAGGACCUUUCGAAUAACAGAAGCUUUUACUUCUCGAUACUUGGCUUUGGCAGAUUACACCUACCCCAUUGUCUGUCUGAAGAAGAAGUACAGGCAUCUGGCAGACAUACCCCUUGAGCCCUUCGAGCAUGUGAAACCACUCUUGCUGAUCGGUGCUGAUUACCCCCAUCUACUCACCCCGAUCGAGCCGGUGAGACUGGGACCGCCAGGAGGACCAGCAGCUGUCUGCACUAGGUUGGGAUGGGCCCUCCAAGGACCUGCUCAUCCCAUACAGUGGACAAUGGGUGCCAGGCAGUGUCUCUUCACCAGUGUUUCCCCUCAGACAGAGCUAGCACAGGAUGUAGAGAAGCUGUGGAAGAUGGACGUGAUGCCCUACCAGACCAGCAAACUGGUGGUACGAUCAAAGCAGGAUCAGGAAGCGAUUGAGCUCCUCGAGGCAAAAACAAGGCGAAUAAGGGUCGACGGUGUACUCAGGUAUGCCACCCCGCUGCUGCGGAAACGCGGUGUUCCCUCCCUCAGAGCACCUAAAGAGGCCGUCCUACCAAGUCUCAGAAGUCUGGAGAGGCGCCUAGACAGGGACCCCCGACGGGCUAACGAGUACUGUGCAGCGAUCCACAAGCUGGUGGAAGCAGGUGCUGUCAGGAAGAUAAACCCACAGGAAGCCUCACUCACCGAAGAAUCGUGGUACAUACCCCACCACCUAGUGAGUCACAACGAGAAGAGACGCCUGGUCUUCAACUGUUCGUAUCAGUUCCAGGGUCGAAGCCUAAAUGAUGCUCUCCUUCCCGGACCUACGCUAGGUCCAUCUCUGCUCGGAGUUCUGCUGCGCUUCAGGGAACAUGCAGUAGCGGUCAGUGGAGACAUCCGCAGCAUGUUUCACCAAGUUCGGCUCCCUCCGGAGGAUCGAGCACUUCUCAGGUUCCUUUGGAGGGACAUGAAGCGCAACGAACCCCCAGACAUCUUUGAGUGGCAAGUUCUGCCGUUUGGCACUGCAUGCUCACCGUGCUGUGUUACUUUUGCUCUCCAGAGGCAUGCGAGAGACCAUGGUGGACCAGACGGAAGAGUCAGGCAUUCGGUGGAGCAGUGUUUUUACGUGGAUAACUGUCUCCAGAGUGUGCCCACGGCCGAGGAGGCCAAGGGGCUGGUGGAGCGACUCAGAGAAGUCUUAGCCGCGGGUGGAUUCGAGAUUCGUCAAUGGGCCUGCAACGUGCCUGAUGUCCUUAAGCACCUACCUGGAGAAGCAAGGUCCGAUGGUAUGGAGAGGUGGCUGUCACACAACGAAUCCGGCCUGACAGAGCCAACUCUGGGACUCAGCUGGCACUGGGAAACAGACACCUUAGGAUACAAGAGCCGACCUUUGGACUAUGGAUCGCUGACCAUGAGGAAUGUGUAUAAGGUGCUAGCCCGACAGUACGAUCCCCUAGGGUUCAUAUCACCCUACACUACUCGAGCUAAACUGAUCGUCCAGCGCAUGUGGGAAAAGCCCCGGGAUUGGGACGACCCGAUUCUUCCCUCUGACCUGCAGAAGGCAUGGAAGGAAUGGGAAUCAGAAUUGCCUUUGCUAUCACACAUCUCCUUACCACGUGCAUAUGUUCCCGCUCAUGCAGGUCGGAGUGUGGUCUCUAGACACAUUCAUGUAUUCAGUGAUGCCUCCGAAAGGGCUUACGGGGCAGUCUCUUACCUGAGAACCGAAGAUGCACAGGGACAAAUCUACCUGGCGUUCCUAGCAGCAAGAUCCAGGGUGGCCCCCCGCCGGCAACACUCGAUUCCCCGCCUCGAGCUUUGUGGUGCCUUGUCAGCCGCCCAGCUUGCCCAGACGAUAAAGAAGGAACUGAGCAUCAGUACAGAUGGGACGAUUCUCUGGAGUGAUUCCACUACAGUGCUCACAUGGCUAAAGUCAGAGUCGUGCCGCUUCAAAGUCUUUGUCGGCACGCGCAUAGCCGAAAUCCAAGAGCUUACAGAGCAGAGUACCUGGCGUUAUGUGGACUCCGCACAGAACCCAGCUGAUGACGUCACACGCGGGAAGACCUUGACAGAGUUAGCCAUGCCUAAUCGUUGGAGCCAAGGGCCGACUUUCCUCCUCAAAGGACCCGAUGGAUGGCCCACCUGGCCGGGCGUGGAACCCAAGCACGACACGGCAGAGUAUAAGAAGCUGACGAUAUGCGGGGUGAUUAACCGCGCGGAGGGACCAGAAACCUUGCCAAUGCACUCACUGUCAUGGAGGGAUAUGGUGAAGUCCGUGGCUCAGGAGCUGCAUGGGGCGGCAGGAAGAGAACCGUUGAGUGCAGCCGACUACCAGCAGGCAGAGAUGACGGUUUUCAAAAGAGUCCAAUCUGAGUGCUUCCCUGAGGAGUUGCGACACCUGAGAGCCGGGAAGGCACUGCUUAAGAGUAGUCGCAUACUUAGCCUCUCACCGGAGUUAGACCCUGAGGAGGAUAUUAUACGGGUGGGAGGACGACUCAGACGUGCUGAGGGGUUAGAUUCGGUUUUCAAGCACCCCAUUGUAUUGGACCCCACUCAUUUGGUCACAAAGCUCCUUAUCCGGGACUACGAUGCCCGCCUCUGUCAUCCAGGCCCUGAGCGAGUAUUCGCGGAGUUGCGCCGUACCUUCUGGGUUCUUCGUGGCAGAGAGGCCGUGCGGAAGGUGCAACAUCAAUGUGAGGAGUGCCGAAGAUGGAAGUCCAAGCCACUGGUCCCGAAGAUGUCCGACUUACCUGAAGCCCGUCUGCGUCUACACAAGCCCCCGUUCUUCUCGACAGGUGUAGAUUGCUUUGGACCUUUCCAUGUAAAGUUGGGACGGCGCUCAGAGAAGAGAUGGGGGAUCAUCUAUAAGUGCCUUACCACCCGAGCGGUGCACGUGGAUCUAUUGCACAGUAUGGAUGUGGAUUCCUUUCUUAUGAGCCUCAGACGGUUUAUCGCUCGCCGAGGAACUCCCGCAGAGCUCUAUUCAGACCGAGGUACAAACUUUACGGCUGGAGAGAAGGAGCUCCGCGAGUCCUUCAAUAGCAUGUCCUCAGAUCUACAACGAUUACUGGCUGGACAGAAAAUUGAUUUCCGCUUCAACCCCCCUGCAGCUCCUCACUUCGGGGGGACGUGGGAAAGAGAGAUCAAGUCUGUGAAGUCCGCUCUGUAUACAGUCAUAGGGGCUCAACCUGUCUCCGAAGAGGUGCUCCAUACUACUCUUCUGGAGGUAGAGGCCAUCCUCAACGCGAAACCGCUGGGCUAUACCUCAUCCAAUGUGGCCGACUUGGAUGCAGUAACCCCAAAUGUACUUCUGAUGGGGCGGCUGGAUGGAUCACUGCCGACGGUGGUAUAUCAGAAGAGCGAGGGAUUAAGCAAGCGAAUGUGGAGGCACUGUCAGGUGAUGGCGGAUCAUUUCUGGGGAAGAUUCAUUAGGGAUUACUUGCCAGCACUACAACGCAGACAAAAGUGGCAUGACACCCCUACGGAUUUGACAGUCAAUUCAGUGGUGUUGCUAAUGGACCCUCAGUUUCCCAGGGCCCUCUGGCCGGUGGGUAGAGUGGUUAAAGUGCAUCAGAGCGCAGAUGGUCAUGUUAGAUCUGCAGACGUGAGAAUCAAAGACAAGAUCUACACUCGGCCAGUGGCCAGACUGAUUACUCUUCCUGCUAUCCCAGAUCACAGAGAUGAUGCGCACGGGACCCCGGCCUCUUCAGAUUAAGAGGCGAGUCUUUGCAGGGGCAAAUUGCAAGCAAUUUGGGGGCGGCUGUGCAAAAGACCCAAGCUGAGGAGUUAUCACGCCGGAAUGAUGUGGGGAUAUUCACUGUUCCCAGAGGAGCUUUUAUUAUGAAAGCGAGCACCGCUCAUCCGGAGCGAUUGCGGAAGAGCGUUAAUUGUUGGAACAGCGCGUGGGACAGUGGUGCGGCAUACACAGGCUCGUAAAUCAGGCUGUAACUGAAUCUUCCGAGCCAGGUUAUAACGUAGUGUGCUGAUGUGCGUCCAAUAAGAGGAAACCACAUCUGCACAUCUGUACAUCUUUACAUAUUAACCUCUCCACCUGCAUCUUACCUGGCCCGGUUGCAAAUACUGCCAAUCUUAACCGCCACUGAAAUUUACCUGGAUAAUUCAGAGAGUACCAGUCUGAGUGAUGAACGGAACAGCACUCAGUUUGUUCAUGGCUCUGGGUUCAGUAAAGGGACACUGAUCGUACUCCUCUUGAUCUUGUUAACGCUGGCUCUCCCCUCUGAUGAUUGUUCAUGUGUGCCCAAUAAACGGCUUAAGUUGACCCAAUGCUCUCUGCUGUGUUCUGACCGACACCCUGGUUCACUGCUAUACUUAUUUGAAACUAGCCCCUUUCCUCUCAGAGUAGCCCUUCGCUACACUUAGGUUUUGUGUGAGAAGACCAUGGGAUGUUUAUCUUCUGAUAUCUCAUGUGUUUUCUCGUGUCUUGUCAUUGGCCCCGCCCCUCUCAUCUGAUGUAUUGCUUUCCUGCCGUGUCUAAUGUUCCCCACCUGCCCUUGUUAAUUAUCCUUCGUUUGUCUACCCUUUAAAUAGUCCUCAUGUUUCAUUGUCUUGUUGCUCGUGGAUUACGUACGUUCCUUGUACCUGUGAUGUCGUGUUGUAUUCCAAACCUGUCCAAAUCGAUGUUCCUUGUUCCCACUGUGAGUCAUUGUUGGUCUUGUUUAUGUUAGUUUAAGUCAAGCGUUUUAUAGUCUAGUUAAUAGUCCUUGGUUCCUGUGUUUUCCUAAUAUCAUUUAUUCCCAUUGUCUUUGUCAGUGUUUUUCCCCAUCGAGGGAGUUUUUGUUUUGUGUUUAUAUUUAAAAUAAAAUACCCCUGUUUUAACCCCUUACCUGCCGUUGCCUGCACUUGGGUUCUUCUUCCACGUAUACCGUGACAGUGAGAGAAUUUUCUCCACUGCCGGAGAUAUUGUGAGUGCGAACCGGUCUCGUCUUGCUGCAGAGAGUGUUGACAAGCUUAUCUUUUUACAUAAGAACUACCAAAUACAGGAAUAGAUAGCUAAACUUAGUGAUGUUGAACUUUACAUUCUAAAUGAAGACUACUAUACUGCAGUACUGUUAAAGUUUUUCAAAUGUUCAGUUUACGUUCAACUUUACAUGUUAUGUUUUUUAUGUAAGAAUUGAUGUGUUCCCAUGUUUGAAUGGGCUACCAGCAGCUGUGAUCUGCCAGUGUUAAUUUUUAUGUAUCUUUAUUUUAUUAUUUAUAUAUUACAUUUAUAUAUUUGUAUUUAUUAUCUCACAUAUAUAUAUUUGUAUGUAUUUUAUUCAGUACACUAGGGGUGUUUACAAGUUACAAGUAAAUAAAGAGAAUUGCAAACAAAACCUUUUUUUCUUCUUAACAUUUUCAUGUUCCUGUCACCUAAGCAUAGAAUAAUGGAAAAAAAAAACCACUUCAUUUUGCCAAGCCAUCCGUACCGAACCGAACACUGUGGUUAAAGAACCGAGGUACGUAUUGAACUAUGGGUUUACUGUAUUGUUGCAUCCCUAGUAGACACCCUCGGCUCGCUACCGAAACGCCCAGGGAAAUCGCACACACCAGGAUGAAUCCGCUGCUCUGCGUCAUACAAUCCAGUAGUUUCUUUUCAAUCAGAGAAGAUGCGCUCAGCAGGUUCCAAAGAACAAAAAUGUGAAUGAAUGGGCACGCCAUCUUCCUUUUUAUACCCGUAUAUACGGAGCGGAGACUGGCAUGCCACGCCAUUCGCCAACUUCAUUGGCCUUUAAAAAGUACAAUCGGAGAUGAUAGGUACUCAAGAUCAAACCCCAUUCUGUCGGUUCGACACAACAUCGAGAGACCGACAGAAAGGGAACUUAACUUAACUGAUUUUAUUUAAUUUGUACUGUUUUAAUGUUUUGUAUGUAUGUGUU